CGCACGCGCAGACCGCCGCUCCCGGCGUGGAGCAUUGCGGCCCAGCCGGCCGCCUCAGGCAAGCCCCGCGGGGCCGGCCGGGCCCGAGCAGCGGGAGCAUGGCGCUGAAACGGAUCCAGAAGGAACUGACUGACUUACAGAGGGAUCCGCCUGCUCAGUGUUCUGCAGGACCUGUAGGUGAUGACUUGUUCCACUGGCAGGCGACCAUCAUGGGCCCGAAUGACAGUCCUUACCAAGGAGGUGUUUUUUUCCUGACCAUCUACUUCCCUACAGAUUAUCCUUUCAAGCCCCCAAAGAUACAACAGACUAGCAAGAGAGUGGACACAGAAAUAUGCUAUGUAAGUGCCUCGAAGGCUCCAUGGGAGACACUGUCCAAGAGAAGCUUGUCAGGCAGAGUGGCCUUCCUGUGCAGCUCUGAGCUAUUGGCUAAGGCACUCACAGAACAUCCUCCAUUCACACGCGUGUUGGCCACUCACUUCCUCUGGCUGCAGCAUGUUGGUGGUGCCACUUCCAGCCAUUGUUGCCUUGACAGUAUCACUUACACCUUUGAUGCCAAAUCAGCAACCAUCGUUAUGAUCUACAGUCUUCCUGGUUACACUAGAACUGGUCUAUGCCCCAACUUGUCUGCUUGUCUCUGGGGAAUCAAGCCAUGCAUGCCUCCCCUACUUGUCCUCAAAUGGUGCCACUAGUCACUGUGGCACUACACAGGGGCCCCGUCUGUUCCCUAACCCACAUGGCCUCUGCCUUUAGAAUACAGUGCUGUCCUGAGGGCCCAGGGCAGAGUGGGCUUUCUUCACAUUCUGUCUGCCACAGAACCAUGUCCUCAGGAGCUCCUGGGAACUGGAAAAGCAUCCCGUGAGAGUGCUUCUGCUGCCUUCCACCUCCGCCCUCUACAGUGCUAUAUGCUGCAUUCCUCUCCUCACACCCACAACAAGUGGGAAACAUCAGGAUGUAUAAAGCAUGUAACACCCCAGAAGGAGGAUGACGUCAGACACGGAGAGGUGAGGCCUAAGAGGGCAAGGAGGAAGAAGUCUGCUGACCUAACGCUUGAGGAUCAGCCAAGGGAGAUUGGUUUGCUCUGAAAACAAGUAACCAGGCAUGGCUGUGCACACCUGUAAUCCCAGCAUGCAGGAGAAGUGGAGGAAAGAGGUUCAAGGCCAGCCUCAGCCACAUAAGACUACCUAAAACAGAAAAGAAGCUAACCAAUGCCAGUGAGUACAAUUCUGAGCUCAUUCACACCACUUUGUAGUCACCAGCCUUUGGGGCGUUGGGCUUUCUUCCUUGCUUUUCACCCUGCUGGGCAUUACUCUUUAAGUUUGUUUCUUAAAUGUUAGGGGGAAGAAUGGUCCUACUGAAGUGUUCUGCAAGGCUGCUACCACAUCUUCUCACCCAAGCUGUAACACCAUGUGCACUUCAGCUCAGCAGAACACAGCACUUUGUAGAGGGUAACUCAGCCAGCAAAGGGACACAGUUUCACAUCAGAGGCAGGCAGACAGGAAAGUCCUGGCACAACAUGGUGUUAAGGCUAUGAACAUCUAAAUGUUAGCCUUUCAAGUUUAGUAGUUUAUGACUCCAAGCAAACAUCCAUUUUUCUAGAUCUAGAGUAUCCCCAAGCGAGUAGAAAAAGUAAAAUGAGCCCUUUGAUGUUCCCAGUGCAAAUUACUAAUUUUUGGAACCCUAAAAUGAGCUUCAUACCACUUGGGUGGACUUAUGCUCAGGCAGUCUUAUGCUUGGGCAGUCUUGUGCUCAAUCCUUUGGAUUCUCUGCCACUGAGAAGGGGCCCACCUAUUUGUCAUGCUCCCAGUUCAACCUGUGGAAUAGGCUCUUGGGUCAAAAGCCAUAUUUUGAAGAUGAACCAUGGUG